rnacentral:rRNA from 1 species
UACGUAGGGCGCGAGCGUUGUCCGGAAUUAUUGGGCGUAAAGAGCUCGUAGGCGGCUUGUUGCGUCUGCUGUGAAAUCCCGGGGCUUAACCCCGGGCGUGCAGUGGAUACGGGCAGGCUGGAGGCAGGCAGGGGAGAAUGGAAUUCCCGGUGUAGCGGUGAAAUGCGUAGAGAUCGGAAAGAACACCAACGGCGAAAGCACUCUGCUGGGCCGACACUGACACUGAGAGACGAAAGCUAGGGGAGCGAAUGGG